AUGGGACUGGAAGAUGAGUGAAAGAUACUGACCAGGUCCGAAGAUCUCAUGGAGGAGGAAGAGCAAGAGGAGGAAUUACUGGAUCCCCCAACAACAGAAAGAGAGCAAUGCAAGCAGCUGGAGAAAUGUGUAAAGGCCAGGAGUGGCUAGAGCUCUGUGAUGAGUGUAUAUCCUUCCAGUCACAAAGAAGAGAAUGCCAUGGAGGAGCUUUGGACUUUUUGCAUGCAAGGGACCACUGAGUGACCCACAAACUCUUUAACAGCUUGAAAUAA
rnacentral:lncRNA from 1 species